rnacentral:misc_RNA from 1 species
UCGCGGCUUAUCACCGGCAGUCCCCUUAGAGUGCCCAACUAAAUGAUGGCAACUAAGGGCGAGGGUUGCGCUCGUUGCGGGACUUAACCCAACACCUCACGACACGAGCUGACGACAGCCAUGCAGCACCUGGACACUCGGUUCCCUUGCGGGCACCCCUCCAUCUCUGGAGGCUUCCGAGGGGUUCCAACCCAGGUAAGGUUCUUCGCGUUGCGUCGAAUUAAUCCACAUCAUCCACCGCUUGUGCGGGUCCCCGUCAAUUCCUUUGAGUUUUAAUCUUGCGACCGUACUCCCCAGGCGGCCAACUUCACGCGUUAGCUACGGUACUAAGGAAGUCUCCUUCCCCAACACCUAGUUGGCAUCGUUUAGGGCGUGGACUAC